rnacentral:misc_RNA from 1 species
UGAAAACAAAAUGGAUGUGAAUGGAAGUGUGGUUGAAUCAGGUUCAUUUACUUUGCCUGUGGAUGCUAACAAGAAUUAUCAUGGACCGCCUAUACUUCUUGGUGUAGUGAGGAAUGAUGAGAAGUUCGACUUCUGCAUGUGCAAUCCUCCAUUUUUUGAGACCAUGGAGGAAGCAGGAUUGAACCCAAAGACUUCUUGUGGUGGGACUCCUGAGGAGAUGGUUUGUCCUGGAGGAGAAAAGGCUUUUAUCAUUCGUAUAAUUGAAGAUAGUGUUGUAUUGAAGGAGUCCUUUAGGUGGUACACUUCAAUGGUUGGAAGGAAAGCAAACCUCAAAUUUCUAAUCUCAAAGCUAAGGGAUGUUGGAGUCACCAUAGUAAAGACAACUGAAUUUGUCCAGGGGCAAACAUGUAGGUGGGGGCUUGCUUGGUCUUUUGUGCCUCCUGCCAGGAAGAUAAUAUCACCUUUUGUGGCUGGGAAGAGUAUACUGUCUUUCAUGCUUGAGGGAAUUCAACGCCAAUUCAGUGCUAUGGAUGUAUUACAAUCAGUUGAGUCCUUUUUU